AUUGAACGCUGGCGGAAUGCUUUACACAUGCAAGUCGAACGGCAGCACGGACUUCGGUCUGGUGGCGAGUGGCGAACGGGUGAGUAAUGUAUCGGAACGUGCCCAGUCGUGGGGGAUAACGUAGUGAAAAUUACGCUAAUACCGCAUACGAUCUAUGGAUGAAAGCGGGGGAUCGCAAGACCUCGCGCGAUUGGAGCGGCCGAUAUCAAGAUUAGGUAGUUGGUGGGGUAAAGGCCCACCAAGCCAACGAUCUGUAGCUGGUCUGAGAGGACGACCAGCCACACUGGAACUGGGACACGGUCCAGACUCCUACGGGAGGCAGCAGUGGGGAAUUUUGGACAAUGGGCGAAAGCCUGAUCCAGCCAUUCCGCGUGCAGGAUGAAGGCCCUCGGGUUGUAAACUGCUUUAGUACAGAACGAAAAGGUUUCUACUAAUACUAGGAGCUCAUGACGGUACUGUAAGAAUAAGCACCGGCUAACUACGUGCCAGCCGCCGCCGUAA
rnacentral:rRNA from 1 species